rnacentral:rRNA from 1 species
CGAACGAAGCUGAUAAUACCGCAUAAGCGCACGAAUGUCGCAUGACAUGGUGUGAAAAACUCCGGUGGUAUAGGAUGGACCCGCGUCUGAUUAGCCGGUUGGUGGGGUAAAAGCCUACCAAAGCGAAGAUCAGUAGCCGAGUUGAGAGACUGACCGGCCACAUUGGGACUGAGACACGGCCCAGACUCCUACGGGAGGCAGCAGCA